AACCCCUGAUAUGAAACUUGUGUUUUCCUUGUAGACUGGCGGAAGGAGGAGUUCCAGGAAUGGCCUGUCACUCUGGAUCCAGCAUCUGCCCAUUCAGACCUUGUCGUCUCUCAUGAAAAGACAUGUGUGACCUUGAAGGACUCCUGGGUGACCUCUGGAGAUACCUGCAGUGUACUGGGCUUUGAGGGCAUCACAUCAGGGCGCUGUUACUGGGAGGUGGAGAUCAGGGAUGGAGACCAAAGCGAGUGGAUGCUGGGGGUCUGUAGGGAAGGUGUGAACAGGAAAUUCUGGUACGUAGAGACCCCAGAAAAGGGGUUCUGGGUUGUGGGGAGGUUUGAAAGAGGAUAUUGUGCCUGUAUUGCAAAGCCGACUCUGCUAUCCUUCAUGCAGGCUCCCCACCCCAGGCUUAGGAUGGGAGUGUUUCUGGAUUACCAGGAAGGGGACGUCUCCUUCUACAACAUGGCUGAUGGCUCCCACAUUUUCUCCUUCCCUCAGGCUUCCUUCUCUGGGACCCUCUUUCCAUACUUCAUGAUUAAUUCAGGAGACGUGUCCCUGACUGUCUGCUCCAAGGUGGGAGGGUCUGAGGGGCUCCCCGUUGCCCUUAACCAUCCUUCUCUGGAGGAGCCUGUGAGCCUCCCAGGGGCGGGGUUCAGCUCAGGCUCUGGUGCUGAAGGUCCUCCAGGGGCCAAGUCUCCCCUGCUCCCCUGCAACCCUGAGGCUGUGUCCCCCUAGGGCCUGUCACUGUCCUGGACCCUCGCUGUGGCUCUUUCUGGAGCUGCAGACUCCCUGUGACAGAGCCCUCUGAGGUACAGCCUGGAUGGCUGGGGGGUCUCGUCUCCCUGUUCUGGAGACAGACUUCUGGGCCUGUAGUUAUAACAACCGUCAGUUCAUGCCAUGGACUCAGGUUUGAGAAGCUAGACGUGGACUAUUUCUGACCUAGUUUUGAUUAGGCUGUAGUUUGCCAUGGGAAGUGAAUUUUCUGGUGGUAAUAAUAUUUUUUUUAAUACUUUU